rnacentral:rRNA from 1 species
GAUGAACGCUGGCGGCGUGCCUAAUACAUGCAAGUCGAACGAAAAGACGCGGAGCUUGCGCCUCUGACGUUAGCGGCGGACGGGUGAGUCACACGUGGAUCACCUACCUGUAUGACUGGGAUCCCUUCGGGAAACCGGAGCUAAUACCGGAUAAUAUAUUGAACCGCGUGGUUCAAUAGUGAAAUACGGUUUUGCUGGCACUUAUAGCUGCAUACCCGCCGCAUUGGCUAGUUGGUAAGGUAACGGCUUACCAAGGCAACGAGGCGUAGCCGACCGCAGAGGGUGAUCGGCCACACUGGAACUGAGCCACGGACAAGACUCCUACGAGACGCAGCAGUAGGGAAUCGUCCGCAAUGGGCGAGAGCCUUACGGAGUAACGGGGCGCGAGUUAUGAAGGUGUUCGGAGCGUAAAACUCUGUUAUGAGUGAUGAACAACUGUGGAAGUAACUGUGCAGGGCGUGACGGUACUUAAUAAGAAAGCAACGGCUAACUACGUG